GAUUAACGCUAGCGGGAUGCCUAAUACAUGCAAGUCGAACGAAGUAUUUAUACUUAGUGGCGAACGGGUGAGUAACACGUAUCCAACAUACCCAUAAGAGGGGGAUAACUAGUUGAAAAACUAGCUAAUACCCCAUAGCAUAUUUUUACAUAAGUAUUAAUAUUUAAAGUUGCGUUUGCAACACUUUUGGAUUGGGGUGCGACGUAUUAGAUUGUUGGUGAGGUAAUGGCUCACCAAGUCGAUGAUGCGUAGCUGUGCUGAGAGGCAGAACAGCCACAAUGGGACUGAGACACGGCCCAUACUUCUACGGAAGGCAGCAGUAGGGAAUUUUCCACAAUGGGCGAAAGCCUGAUGGAGCAAUCCCGCGUGAACGAUGAAGGUCCUACAAGAUUGUAAAGUUCUUUUAUUGGGGAAGAAAUGUAAGAAAAGGAAAUGUUUUUUAUUUGACGGUACCCUUUGAAUAAGUAUCGGCUAACUAUGUGCCAGCAGCCGCGGUAAUACAUAGGAUGCAAGCGUUAUCCGGAUUUACUGGGCGUAAAGCGAGCGCAGGCGGAUUUACAAGUCUGAUGUUAAAGACAACUGCUUAACGGUUGUUUGCAUUGGAAACUGUAAGUCCAGAGUAUAGUAGAGAGUUUUGGAACUCCAUGUGGAGCGGUGGAAUGCGUAGAUAUAUGGAAGAACACCAGAGGCGAAGGCGAAAACUUAGGCUAUAACUGACGCUUAGGCUCGAAAGUGUGGGGAGCAAAUAGG
rnacentral:rRNA from 1 species